rnacentral:rRNA from 1 species
AUUGAACGCUGGCGGCAGGCCUAACACAUGCAAGUCGAGCGGAUGAAGGGAGCUUGCUCCUGGAUUCAGCGGCGGACGGGCGAGUAAUGCCUAGGAAUCUGCCUGGUUGUGGGGGAUAACGUCCGGAAACGGGCGCUCAUACCGCAUACGUCCAGAGGGAGAAAGUGGGGGAUCUUCGGACCUCUCGCUAUCAGAUGAGCCUAGGUCGGAUUAGCUAGUUGGUGGGGUAAAGGCGUACAAAGGCGACGAUCCGUAACUGGUCUGAGAGGAUGAUCAGUCACUCUGGAACUGAAACACCGUCCAGACUCCUACGGGAGGCAGCAGUGGUGAAUAUUGGACAAUGGGCGAAAGCCUGAUCCAGCCAUGCCGCGUGUGUGAAGAAGGUCUUCGUAUUGUAAAGCGCUGUAAGUUGGGAGGAACGGCUGUAAGUUACUACCUUGCUAUUUUGACGUUACCAACAGAAUAAGCACCGGCUAACUUCGUG